rnacentral:rRNA from 1 species
GACGAACGCUGGCGGCGUGCCUAAUACAUGCAAGUCGAGCGGAGUUGAAAAAAAGUUUACUUUUUUUCUUCUCAGCGGCGGACGGGUGAGUAACACGUGGGCAACCUGCCCUGUAGACUGGGAUAACUUCGGGAAACCGAAGCUAAUACCGGAUAAUCAUAGAAGUUGCAUAGCUUCUAUGUAAAAGUUGGGUUUACCUAACACUACAGGAUGGGCCCGCGUCGCAUUAGCUAGUUGGUAAGGUAACGGCUUACCAAGGCGACGAUGCGUAGCCGACCUGAGAGGGUGAUCGGCCACACUGGGACUGAGACACGGCCCAGACUCCUACGGGAGGCAGCAGUAGGGAAUCUUCCGCAAUGGACGAAAGUCUGACGGAGCAACGCCGCGUGAGCGAUGAAGGCCUUCGGGUCGUAAAGCUCUGUUGUUAGGGAAGAACAAGUGCUAUUUCGAAAUAGGGUGGCACCCUUGACCGGUACCCAA